UACGUAGGUGGCAAGCGCUGUCCGGAAUCACUGGGCGUAAAGCGCACGUAGGCGGCUUUCUAAGUCAGGGGUGAAAUCCUGGAGCUCAACUCCAGAACUGCCUUUGAUACUGGAGAGCUUGAGUCCGGGAGAGGUGAGUGGAACUCCGAGUGUAGAGGUGAAAUUCGUAGAUAUUCGGAAGAACACCAGUGGCGAAGGCGGCUCACUGGCCCGGUACUGACGCUGAUGUGCGAAAGCGUGGGGAGCAAACAGG
rnacentral:rRNA from 1 species